GCUUUCCUGCAGCUUCAUGCUAGAGAAAGGAAUUUACAUUAGAAAAGAGAGAUUUAUGAUAGCAUUGAAUUUCCAUUUGAAUAUGGAGAGUUAAUAACAUGCAUAUGUUUUUUUAUUAUUAUUAUUUUAAGGUCUGAACGACGCCAUAGGCAAGGGGAAAGCUGGAAACUGCGGGGCUGGCAGGACUCAAUGAAUAAUUUAAUCUGGAUUUCAUUCACAAACAGCAGCAGCGCACUCCUAGGGAAAGGACCGGUGCGCUUCCCUAGAUCGGAACUGGAAGAGGGUACUGUAGGUGGAAAGAAGAAGGUUUAACUUUUGAGGAUUUCCUUCAACUCCUGCUUUGGAUUCUCUUCUACAACAAGCACCUAGGAAAUGAUCUGUGGACAAGUGUAAGUGAAGCA
rnacentral:lncRNA from 1 species